rnacentral:lncRNA from 1 species
ACUUGUCAAAGACAAUGAAAGUAAAAUUGCCUUCAAGGUGACCAACAACAUGAUUUGGAGGGUAAGGUGCCCUGUCACGAAGUGCCUUGUAUGCUUCAAUCACCAGCAUCACCUCAUUUGCAGACUUGGCAAGGCCAUACUGUUGCCUCAGACUCCCUAAGUUGUCAAGUGAUCCCUCAAACAAGCAAAAUAUGUCAUCCUUAACAGCAAAUGACCUGCCAUUUCCCCCAUUAAGUUAAAUCUAUACAUUUACAUCUCAAUUGGAACAACUUUUAAACAGCACAAAAUUGUACUGAAAGGCCAAGACAGAUGCUUUCAUAAAGCUGAUAUAACAUUUACGUUACAGAAUCUUAUCCUUAGCAAAACAAUUUUACAAUUCUUAUGCUCAAAUAUGAUCCUUAUCAAGAAAUAACUGAAACGACUGUGCAUACAAAAUUAAAACAUUAAAUCUUGGUAGAAGGCACUUGCCUUCCCUUUCGAUUGACAACUAGGAAGCUUGCUUAAAGUAUUAAUUGUAGCAAAAACAUUUUAAAGUCUCCAUUCUCCAACUACCCAACUACCCAGAUCCCUCCCUCAAUUUUCAAAGGCAAUUGUGGAGAUGAUUCCACCAAUAAAAGUGUUCUAAAAUUGCUUCUUCAAAAAUUUUGCAACUUUUCCUAUUAGUCAAUUUACUAACUUAUCGCCAAUAACCCAAUUCCUUUAUAUAGACAGAAUACUGAUCUAAUCAGGAAAAAGUAACAAAAGACUUAAGGGAAAACAUGGCUAUAAUUUCGAUUCACUACUCUUUUCCAAUAGAUUUUCUUAUCUGACACCGGAUUCAGAAUUUUAAGCUUAUGGUUCCUAUAACAAUCUCAAGUUAAUCUACAUGAAGAUUGGACCAACGUACUAGGUUCCAAACUAAAUAUUCUUCUAUUUUUAGUGAAUUUUAGUAUAAAUACAGGGUUUAUGUAAAAGUUACUGAGUUCAUGGGAACUCGUACCCUUUGCUCUACAUCCGCCCCUGUCCCCACUCCCGCGGGGUCAGCAAGCCCUCCGCCAUUAAUAAACUAGUUAAUUCGUAUACUUUUACUUAUCCACCUUAUUAAAAAUCUAUUUUCACUUUUGCUUGUCUAUUUUAGACAAUCAAGAAAAAAGCAAUCUUUUUCCUUAUUUUACCUUUAUUAUUAAUUAUUCAUUUCUAAAAUUAUUUUUUAAUUUUCUGAAAUGUCAUGAUAAUUAAGGAUAAAAUUAUAAAUUAACUUUUUAAAAAAAAAAAGAAAAGAAAAUUCAAAGUCCGGAGUGAAUACCUAAGAAUGAAUGGAAAGAUGUAUAUCGAUCUCAUACUUGUUGGGGCAAGAUCAUGUCACAUGUGUCAGAUCUCCCCUUUGUUAAUUAUAUCCAAAAAUAAUGAUAAGAUAAAAUCUGGUGAUUUAUGUCUGGUAACAAUUCACGUGACAAUCUUCUCCCUGGCCACUGACAAACAGUGAAUUUGUCCAGUUUGCGGAAAGCUAUAAGUUCAGUUCCACUAUGGAAAUACCUUGCCCCUGUGGCAAGCCCUAAACAGUCCAUCUUAUAAGCGCUACAAUAUUUUAUUAAGGUUCUUGGUUUCAGCUAAGCUAACGGUCCUCUCCGUGUAAAUUAUGAUUUGGAUUCCUUGAAUACAAUAGUUACCAAACUUUGACAAGCUUAUUCUUCCAUCCACUUUGUCGACGUUAAUUGGUGACACUUAAUGUUACGUGCUUACGUUUAUGGAUCUUAAAGCUAGAUGGGCUUCCCAAGAAAUUUUGAGAACCACCUACAAGGUUUACGAUUAUAAUAUAAUAAUAAUAAUAAUAAUAAUAAUAAUAAUAAUAAUAAUAAUAAUAAUAAUAAUAAUAAUAAUUACCAUUAUCACCAUCUUAAUACAUUGAAAUUCCAGAACAUGUUACCGUGCAAAGAAGAAAGCUGAAAAUAAAUCUUUACGUUAAAAAAGCAUCUCUUAACCUAACUCAACUCAGAAAAAUAUGAAAACCGUCCAAAAUUAUAUAAAACAUCACUUUUUUCUCACACAAAUGAUGUGGGACUUCAAGACUUUAGAGAGUCCUUUUUGUUUUUGUUUUUUAAAUUGUAAAUGAGUAAUAUUGAAUUAUCUCCGUCCAGAGAAAGGUUGAUGAUGAAAAGAAAAAGGAAAAAGAAAGGUUGAUGAUGAAACCAAUAAAUGCUAACAUCAUCUUGGACCGUCAGAUCACAUGAUUGCUAGCGGACAGUUUUGCUUCUCUCAGCCGUUUCAUCAAUAUUUUUUAGUUUCUAUCCAAAAGAAACCAAGAAGUUCCCCGGCUUCCGGUUUGACUAAAAAUUGACGACAGUUUCUUGUGCUAAAAAUAUUGUUUAAUUUGGAUUAUCAGAAAAAUAUUCGAUAUUAAUAAAAAUAAUCAGUUCACUGAAAUAUUAACUUUAAAUUUUUAGUCUAACAUUACUCAAACAGAUUAUACGAGACUUAAUCUAAAUUAGCUAAAAUAAUCGUAUAUCAACAUGUCCAAAAAAUUAAUGAAGAUGGAAAUGGCAACACGUGCAAAGGUUGAAUAAAUAAGUUUUUCAAAACUAAUUUGCAAAUACUAAUAAGAAUCUAUUUAUCUAAUAGCAGCAUAUGAUUUCACCAAUGAAACUAAAAGGAAUAAGCAACGGAAAAAUUCGAAGUGAUCAUCAAAACGAAACUUAGUAAAUGCAACAUACAUGUAAAAAUAAAUAAAUCAGAACAACACAAUAGAUGUAUUUAUUCUAUAUGCGCUGAUAAUUUAUAAGUAUUUUACACUAUUAGCUAAAUUUGACCUUCAACAACAUAUUAAGUCUGAUAUAGUUACCUCAAUAAUAGGUUGAGAAACUUCUAUAAUCAAUUAAAUUUGGUGUAGAAAAUCAGUGCAUAUAAAUUACUACUCCAAUAAGGCAAACCAUGUAUCAUGCAUGAUAAUCCUAAUUCAUGAUGUCACAUCCAUCAAAUCGUGCAAUCCAAACCGUUGAUCAACAUAUCCACAAUCUCAUCAACGGUUCAGAUCACGUUAUCAAAGCUGACCAAUUUCUAUUUAGCACCUUCAGUUAAACUUUUCAAUUUGGAAAUUACACUUAAACACUCAGCUAAAAUUAACUUUAUAGAAUCAGUCACAACAUUUCUAUUAAGUUCUUUAGUUGUUAUACCUGGGGAGUACAGCGGACUCGUUGUAGUGAGUGUAAGCGAGCUGGACAUGAUCGCCGAUCUGCAUAGAAACCGCCGACGAAUUAUUUUGAACAAAUCUUUUUACCAGAGCUUCCGCCUUGAUCUUAGGCGACGGAGUCCGGCUUCCGGCGGCCACAAGCUCGUCGGGCGGGGAAACAAUGGAACUG